CAUCCCGAACCCCGUCUUUGACGGGGUCGGUGGUGGGGAGCGCGGGACCUGAACCGGGGAGGCAAGCGCAUUAACGGGUGUGACGCAGGAAGGUAGCCGGGCCGGGCAAUGGAAAUGACCUGGUCUAAGGGUGUAGGGCUGCCGGUAGGUAAAUCCGCCGGCUGUAUGCCUGAGACCUGAUGGGCGCCCACGUGGUGGGUGAUCCGGUGAUCCUAUGCUGCCUAGAAAAGCAUCGGCGCGAGGUUCAAACUGCCCGUACCCUAAACCGACA
rnacentral:rRNA from 1 species